UACGGAGGGAGCUAGCGUUAUUCGGAAUUACUGGGCGUAAAGCGCACGUAGGCGGCUUUGUAAGUAAGAGGUGAAAGCCCAGAGCUCAACUCUGGAAUUGCCUUUUAGACUGCAUCGCUUGAAUCAUGGAGAGGUCAGUGGAAUUCCGAGUGUAGAGGUGAAAUUUCGUAGAUAUUCGGAAGAACACCAGUGGCGAAGGCGGCUGACUGGACAUGUAUUGACGCUGAGGUGCGAAAGCGUGGGGAGCAAACAGG
rnacentral:rRNA from 1 species